UGGGGAAUCUUGCGCAAUGGGCGAAAGCCUGACGCAGCCAUGCCGCGUGAAUGAUGAAGGUCUUAGGAUUGUAAAAUUCUUUCACCGGGGACGAUAAUGACGGUACCCGGAGAAGAAGCCCCGGCUAACUUCGUGCCAGCAGCCGCGGUAAUACGAAGGGGGCUAGCGUUGCUCGGAAUUACUGGGCGUAAAGGGCGCGUAGGCGGAUCGUUAAGUCAGAGGUGAAAUCCCAGGGCUCAACCCUGGAACUGCCUUUGAUACUGGCGAUCUUGAGUAUGAGAGAGGUAUGUGGAACUCCAAGUGUAGAGGUGAAAUUCGUAGAUAUUCGGAAGAACACCAGUGGCGAAGGCGACAUACUGGCUCAUUACUGACGCUGAGGCGCGAAAGCGUGGGGAGCAAACAGG
rnacentral:rRNA from 1 species